GAUGAACGCUGGCGGCGUGCCUAAUACAUGCAAGUCGAGCGAACGGACGAGAAGCUUGCUUCUCUGAUGUUAGCGGCGGACGGGUGAGUAACACGUGGAUAACCUACCUAUAAGACUUGGUUAACUUCGGGAAACCGGAGCUAAUACCGGAUAAUAUUUUGAACCGCAUGGUUCAAAAGUAAAAGACGGUCUUGCUGUCACUUAUAGAUGGAUCCGCGCUGCAUUAGCUAGUUGGUAAGGUAACGGCUUACCAAGGCAACGAUGCAUAGCCGACCUGAGAGGGUGAUAGACCACAAUGGAACUGAGACAAGGUCCAGACGACUACGGGAGGCAGCAGUAGGGAAUCUUACGCAAUGGGCGAAAGACUGACGGAGCAACGCCGCGUGAGUGAUGAAGGUCUUCGGAUCGUAAAACUCUGUUAUUAGGGAAGAACAUAUGUGUAAGUAACUGUGCACAGCUUGACGGUACCUAAUCAGAAAGCCACGGCUAACUACGUG
rnacentral:rRNA from 1 species